ensembl:lncRNA
GUGUGAACUCUGCCAAAUAUUCAGGCAUUUAUAUUAAUGGAAAGAGGUUCAUCAUUGCCCUAUUGCACUUUAACUUUAACUUCAUUUAGUUUGCACAUAUUUUGUAUUGUUUUGAUUUAACUUCAUUUUAUUGUUUGCACCUUGUCACUUUGCACUGAAAUAAAACACGUACGUUUAGACAUUUAUGGAUGUUUAUUUACAGAAGUUGCUUAAGCAAGUUUAUAAGCAUCACUGUCCAAAUGUGCCAUGGGACUCAAUGUCAGCAUGCCAUGGCACAGCUCCUUUUGACGAAAGAAAUAAUCUCAUCAAGUCCAUCCUUAAAUCAAAUUAAGCUUUGCUGGAACGGUUACUGGCAUCUCCAGACACCACUCUGCGCCACUCACCGAGCUGUACAGAUCCAGCAGAGUCUGUGUCUGUAAAUUGCGGUGGUACAUAGCAGCUGUCUGGUGCAUUCGAUUUGACGAUUUGACGACAUCCACAGCAUUGUCAGGUCGGAACUCAAUCGCCCGGCAAAAUAUUCGCCACCGUGCUGCCAUAAACUCAAAGGGGUUUUCAAUUACCCGUCUGGCUCUAGAGAUGCAGUAAUUGAAGAUAUGCUUCUCUAUUCCCCAUAUAGUUCUUAUUUAAAUAGAAAAUAACAUUGCGGGCACAUUAUUGCACCACAGUCACAAAUAUUUGACUUGACACGAAAAGACAAAAUGCAGCACACUCACAGACAUUCGAUGUUAUGGUUUGAAAAGAUAAUGUAAAGCGUGUGGACUUAGUAUAUUUUGUUACAUACCUGGAAAGGGGCGCAUUGUUGUGCAGGGGGAAGGCAGCAUCAGCAACGAUGGGUGCGGGGCCAAGAUCCUGGACCCAGAAAAAAAAGCUGGUUGGGAGCAGAUUCAGUUUAUGUUCGAGCAAUUUCUUCAAAUGUGCUGUGCUGGAAAAUACCGCUGUCGCUCUCCCGUCCAUACCCUCCCACGUCAACCAUGGUUAAGCGAUAUCUUGCAUCACAAGUAGCCAUGAGGACGAUGGGGUGAGAUCCUUUAUAAUUGAAGUAAUCACUCCCAGCAUUUGGCGGUUCCUUGAUCGUGACAUGCUUCCGUCUACACUCCCAAUACAAUUUGGAAAGUUCCAGAAGCGCCAAAAAUCUGCUGCAAUUGGCUAGAAGUAGGACAGGGCAGGACAAAAUGCCGGACACUGUGCAGGAGGCUAGUUUGUAGCUUGCCGCUACAGCCUGCUGGUCGUGAAUAUAACCCACAAUCACUGCACAGAGUAACGAAAUCACCUGAGUUUGUUUGCAAGGAACUCACCCAUCUAGUCUGGGGUUCCUGAGGUAAAAUCUGUGACCCCCUUGACCAUCACAAUGCUCUAAAAUCAAAUCUACGGGCCCUCCCCGGUCACCAUUACCAUUUAACUUCCCGCUCUCUGUUCCCUUAUUACAUUCUCAUACGUUCAAGAAUUACAUACAAAAGGGUUACAUAUAAGGGUAAGACUGAUGUCAUUGACUACAGAGGGAUGUCUGUCUGAGUGUUUGCCGGUCAACCCAGGACCCCAUGAGUUGUUGAUGGAGAACAAAGGAACAGGGCCCGGAGCCUCCCCCCCUGCUGAUGCAUUUUUUUCUCUACCAAUAUUCCAACAGUUUGGCUGAGAAGCCUCCAAUAUUUUCCAUGAUAAAGCUAAAAUCCACCCGGAGCUAAAAUCCUCAGUGUCACGGCUAGUCUUUCUGCAACAUCCAUGGGUAUGUUGUGUGUGCCCUGAUGGUGUAUUCCACUCAAAGAUUUAGUGUACGUACCACUCAUUAUGAUUUAAAGGAUCCUCAGUUAAGUCAAUGUAAGAAGAAGAAAAAACACAGGUCUUAACGUCUUAAUGGAACUGGAAAAGCAAGGAUCAUGUCAGCUGAACUCAAUUAAUGAAACCAGGAAUGAAGUCAUUCCAAAAGGACUUGUGGAGCGCUGCUCCUUCCAAAGCCCCCCAGAAGUUCAUAAAUUAUCUCCUACAUGGGAUGUAUACCAGGGAAUAUAUGGCAGGCCAUUCAGUGACUGGCCAGUCAUCCAGCAGCUGCACAGAAGGAAAACCUGGCCUAGCCCAACAGGACCUUGUUGAAAUAACAA